rnacentral:lncRNA from 13 species
ACUGACAGAAUUCUUGGCACUAUUUUGGGUUGCUAAAAAUGCAGUAAGGAAGGGAAGGGGACAGAAGAUGAAAAGGGAGAGGAUAAAGGAGAGAACAUGACAGCAGCAAGUUAAAAGUAGGGCACUAGAGCAGAAGAAAGAAGGAAAGCAAGGAAUACAAGGUGUGUUUCUUUUGACUGUAUUUUCAUCAGUCUCGUCAUUUUCCAUUUGUGCUGGGACUUUUGCCUGCGGAAGGUUUUCAAGUCUGGCUGCAAUUUGGUUACCUUGAAGAACUUCAAGCAGAGAGGCUUUUAGUGAAAAUACAGAGGAUGACUCGAGAGGAAUUGUGGUGCUUUCAGAGGCCAGAUGUCCAUCGAUCAAGAAUGACCUCAGGAAAUAGGAUGAAGAAAGCACAAACAAAUUUCCUCAGUGGGGAUUUCAUGCUAGGAUAACUUGGAGGCUCUUCUUCCCUUGCCUCUAUCCAUCCCCUGAUGUCAGUGGCCUGGCCAUGCUCUUCUCAUGGUAAUGGACAGACACACAGAAAGCUACGUUGUUCAGUGUCCUUUGAAUAUUUCUUGAUCUGGACAGUCAUUUCUGCGCAUUGAAUGCUACAGAUUGGAUCUGACCACAACCACACAGGACACAUUCACACACAGCUGGAAUUAAUUAGUUUCUUUGUAAAAAUUAAUAAAACACAAUAAAAAAUAAAUACUAGAUGGCUU